AGUGAACGCUGGCGGUAGGCCUAACACAUGCAAGUCGAACGGCAGCACAGUAAGAGCUUGCUCUUACGGGUGGCGAGUGGCGGACGGGUGAGGAAUACAUCGGAAUCUACUUUUUCGUGGGGGAUAACGUAGGGAAACUUACGCUAAUAUCGCAUACGACCUACGGGUGAAAGCAGGGGAUCUUCGGACCUUGCGCGAUUGAAUGAGCCGAUGUCGGAUUAGCUAGUUGGCGGGGUAAAGGCCCACCAAGGCGACGAUCCGUAGCUGGUCUGAGAGGAUGAUCGGCCACACUGGAACUGGGACACGGUCCAGACUCCUACGGGAGGCAGCAGUGGGGAAUAUUGGACAAUGGGCGCAAGCCUGAUCCAGCCAUACCGCGUGGGUGAAGAAGGCCUUCGGGUUGUAAAGCCCUUUUGUUGGGAAAGAAAAGCAGCAGGUUAAUACCCCGCUGUUCUGACGGUACCCAAAGAAUAAGCACCGGCUAACUUCGUG
rnacentral:rRNA from 1 species